UCGCUGUUUUUUGGUUUUUUUAAUGAAACAUACCCUGAAAAUGGAGCAGAAACAACAACUAUCCUUGAACUUCAAGUCAGAUGACUUAGAGGUGUUGGUAACCUCCUUCGAGAAAUCCAAAUACACAUAACGCUUAACUGGGGAGAUUAAAGAGAGAGAGUGGGCAAUAGCAGACACAGUCUCCGCCGCAUAUCUGGCAUCCAGCGGAGCGCUGAUGCUGUCAAAAAGAAAAUAAGUCCAUUUUCAGUGAUAUGAAGACACAGGAAACUGUUGUGUCCAAAGAACAGAUGAAACCGCUGGUGACUCCUCCUGUGCUCCCUCACUGACCCCGGCAGAAACCCGUAGGCUACUCUUCUCGGGAAAGUUAAUUAUGACGAUGUUCAGGAACCCAAAAGGACAACAUAACAUGGGAAAAUAACAAUUUUCAAUAGGACAAAAUGGCCUCAGUAGAGAAAAAUAAAGCAAAUCUCACCUCUUAA